AUCCAGUGAUAGAGAUUUAAGCACUUAUGUACGUUGCUCUGGAUAAGGGCAUCUGCCAAAUGCUGUAAAUGUAAAUGUAAAUGUAGGUCAAGGUGUAUGAUCCUGUGGAAACCAUUUUCUAUUCCAAUUUACCUGACGGCUGCCCAGAGUGAGGUGCUCAAAUUUAAGUUUUUCAGAAAAAAAAAGCCUCACUCUUACUUUACUGGACAAAAGACACCUGGAUGCAGAAGAUUUCUUUCUACAAAAUGCUGCUGUAAUCGUCAUCAACACAACCAUCACUUCAGCACAUUUAGUCCAUUACUCAUCUCCAUCUGUGGACUGUAAUUAUAUCUAAUUGCAUUAUUUGGUGUCACCCACAAGAGGAUGGGUUCCUUUUUGAGUCUGGUUCCUCUCAAGGUUUCUUCCUUAUGUCAUCACAGGGAGUUUUUCCUUGCCACCGUCGCCACAGGCUUGCUCACUAAGGACUUCGAUCUAUAUCCAGUAUUCUGUAACAAACAUUUAUUGAAAGGAAACGAAUUGUACAAAUAAAUUUGAUCUGAAUUGA